CUGAACUUCCCCUUUGUCAAUAGGAUGCUGGAUCUUUGAGAUUAAAGUGCCCUCUGCUGCCUGCAACCUCCUGUUCAGCAAAAAAGGACCCUUCUUUCUUUGAUCCUUGACAAAAGUUACUUGGAGAAAACAGCCAGACAGAAAUAUUUCUACAAAUACAGUUAAAUUGGAUUCUCCCAUUCCUUAAUAUAAAGGUACUUGACAUUUCCUUUAAUUUGUUGUUCUGAAUGAUUCUAGUGCAAGAGGCUUUUUCAGAUCUAA
rnacentral:lncRNA from 11 species